AAGACAACCGGGAUUGCCUCAGUAACGGCGAGUGAAGCGGCAAGAGCUCAAAUUUGAAAGCUGGCUCCUUCGGGGUCCGCAUUGUAAUUUGCAGAGGAUGCUUCGGGUGCGGCCCCUGUCUAAGUGCCCUGGAACGGGCCGUCAGAGAGGGUGAGAAUCCCGUCUGGGAUGGGGUGUCCGCGCCCGUGUGAAGCUCCUUCGACGAGUCGAGUUGUUUGGGAAUGCAGCUCUAAAUGGGUGGUAAAUUUCAUCUAAAGCUAAAUACUGGCCGGAGACCGAUAGCGCACAAGUAGAGUGAUCGAAAGAUGAAAAGCACUUUAGGAAAAAAGUUAAAAAGCACGUGAAAUUGUUGAAAGGGAAGCGCUUGCGACCAGACUCGCCUCCAGGGUUCAGCCGGCAUUCGUGCCGGUGUACUUCCCUGGGGGCGGGCCAGCGUCGGUUUGGGCGGCCGGUCAAAGGCUCCCGGAAUGUAGUGCCCUCCGGGGCACCUUAUAGCCGGGAGUGCAAUGCGGCCAGCCUGGACCGAGGAACGCGCUUCGGCACGGACGCUGGCAUAAUGGUCGUAAACGA
rnacentral:rRNA from 1 species